rnacentral:rRNA from 1 species
UACGUAGGGUGCAAGCGUUGUCCGGAAUUAUUGGGCGUAAAGAGCUCGUAGGCGGCUCGUCACGUCGGCUGUGAAAACCCGGGGCUCAACCCCGGGCCUGCAGUCGAUACGGGCGAGCUAGAGUUCGGCAGGGGAGACUGGAAUUCCGUGGUGUAGCGGUGAAAUGCGCAGAUAUCAGGAGGAACACCGGUGGCGAAGGCGGGUCUCUGGGCCGAUACUGACGCUGAGGAGCGAAAGCGUGGGGAGCGAACAGG